rnacentral:rRNA from 1 species
UACGGAGGGUGCAAGCGUUAUCCGGAUUCACUGGGUUUAAAGGGUGCGUAGGUGGGUCUGUAAGUCCGUGGUGAAAUCUCCAAGCUUAACUGGGAGGGGUCUUUGGAUACUGGCGGACUUGAGGUGAGCAGAGGUGAGCGGAAUUCUUGGUGUAGCGGUGAAAUGCGUAGAUAUCAAGAGGAACACCUGAGGUGAAGACGGGUUGCUGGGCUGACACUGACGCUGAGGCGCGAAAGCCAGGGGAGCAAACGGG